rnacentral:rRNA from 1 species
UCAUCUCCUGAUGAGAAGUUGAAAGGCGGCUUUUGCUGUCACUUACAGAUGGGCCUGCGGCGCAUUAGCUAGUUGGUAAGGUAACGGCUUACCAAGGCGACGAUGCGUAGCCGACCUGAGAGGGUGAUCGGCCACACUGGGACUGAGACACGGCCCAGACUCCUACGGGAGGCAGCAGUAGGGAAUCUUCCGCAAUGGACGAAAGUCUGACGGAGCAACGCCGCGUGAGUGAUGAAGGUUUUCGGAUCGUAAAACUCUGUUGUUAGGGAAGAACAAGUGCCAUAGUAACUGAUGGCACCUUGACGGUACCUAACCAGAAAGCCACGGCUAACUACGUGCCAGCAGCCGCGGUAAUACGUAGGUGGCAAGCGUUGUCCGGAAUUAUUGGGCGUAAAGCGCUCGCAGGCGGUUCUUUAAGUCUGAUGUGAAAUCUUACGGCUCAACCGUAAACGUGCAUUGGAAACUGGGGAACUUGAGUGCAGAAGAG